rnacentral:misc_RNA from 1 species
CAUGCCCAUGCAUCGAACUGCCGAAUUUCGAUCUCCUCAUAUCAGAGCCGACGCUUGCGCCUCGGGCGCCGUGGGCGAAUUUCGGGUCCCUGCGUUGCGAACCCACCGAAGCGGAAGUCGGUUGUGUUGCUGUGCUAUUCUCGCCUCACUCCUGCCAAGGGCGUGUGGUGAGCGUGGAGGCACCUCCCUUGCUCCGAACAUGUCUAUUCGACUGCCACGGUGCAUCGGAAAGGUCGCCCGUGCUUUCCGGGAUGCCGAAAACCUUUACGUGGCGCGUGGGAUCCGUUCCCUCCGUUGCCCGAAACGUCCCUGAUAUCCGAACGACGUGUCGGCCCCGCGCCCCCUCCCCGUCAUGCCGGGGAUGGGAGCGGGCGCCGGGCUCGUGAAGGAAUGC